rnacentral:rRNA from 1 species
UACGUAGGGUGCGAGCGUUAAUCGGAAUUACUGGGCGUAAAGCGUGCGCAGGCGGUUCGUUAUGUCCGUUGUGAAAGCCCCGGGCUUAACCUGGAACUGCGUCCGAUACUGGCAGGCUUGAAUCCGGGAGAGGGAUGUGGAAUUCCAGGUGUAGCGGUGAAAUGCGUAGAUAUCUGGAGGAACACCGGUGGCGAAGGCGGCAUCCUGGACCGGUAUUGACGCUGAGGCGCGAAAGCCAGGGGAGCAAACGGG